UACGUAGGGUGCAAGCGUUGUCCGGAAUUAUUGGGCGUAAAGAGCUCGUAGGCGGUUUGUCACGUCGGAUGUGAAAGCCCGGGGCUUAACCCCGGGUCUGCAUUCGAUACGGGCAGACUAGAGUGUGGUAGGGGAGAUCGGAAUUCCUGGUGUAGCGGUGAAAUGCGCAGAUAUCAGGAGGAACACCGGUGGCGAAGGCGGAUCUCUGGGCCAUUACUGACGCUGAGGAGCGAAAGCGUGGGGAGCGAACAGG
rnacentral:rRNA from 1 species